GAUUUGCAGCCCGACUUGAGCGGAAAUCCUUUUUGCUGCUGGAAAUGCUUUGGCAAAAAGAUUGGGAGCGGAAGGCGGAAAUUGCU
rnacentral:sRNA from 1 species